AACGCACAUUGCGCCCGCCAGCAUUCUGGCGGGCAUGCCCGUCCGAGCGUCGUUACCACCCGUCAAGCCCAGCUUGUGUUGGGGACCCGCGGCUGCCGCGGGCCCCGAAAUGCAGCGGCGGGACCGCCCCCGUGCCGAGCGCAGUAGCACUGCCCUCGCUCUGGACCGGCGGCGUGCCCCGCCUGAUCGCGCCCAGCGCACACGUGUCGACCUCGGAUCGGGUAGGAAUACCCGCUGAACUUAA
rnacentral:misc_RNA from 1 species